rnacentral:rRNA from 1 species
CCAUCUCCUAAGGCUAAAUACUCUCUAGUGACCGAUAGUGAACCAGUACCGUGAGGGAAAGGUGAAAAGCACCCCGGAAGGGGAGUGAAAUAGAACCUGAAACCGUGUGCUUACAAGUAGUCAGAGCCCGUUAAUGGGUGAUGGCGUGCCUUUUGUAGAAUGAACCGGCGAGUUACGAUUUGAUGCAAGGUUAAGCAGUAAAUGUGGAGCCGUAGCGAAAGCGAGUCUGAAUAGGGCGUUUAGUAUUUGGUCGUAGACCCGAAACCAGGUGAUCUACCCUUGGUCAGGUUGAAGUUCAGGUAACACUGAAUGGAGGACCGAACCGACUUACGUUGAAAAGUGAGCGGAUGAACUGAGGGUAGCGGAGAAAUUCCAAUCGAACCUGGAGAUAGCUGGUUCUCUCCGAAAUAGCUUUAGGGCUAGCCUCAAGUGAUGAUUAUUGGAGGUAGAGCACUGUUUGGACGAGGGGCCCCUCUCGGGUUACCGAAUUCAGACAAACUCCGAAUGCCAAUUAAUUUAACUUGGGAGUCAGAACAUGGGUGAUAAGGUCCGUGUUCGAAAGGGAAACAGCCCAGACCACCAGCUAAGGUCCCAAAAUAUAUGUUAAGUGGAAAAGGAUGUGGCGUUGCCCAGACAACUAGGAUGUUGGCUUAGAAGCAGCCAUCAUUUAAAGAGUGCGUAAUAGCUCACUAGUCGAGUGACACUGCGCCGAAAAUGUACCGGGGCUAAACAUAUUACCGAAGCUGUGGAUUGUCCUUUGGACAAUGGUAGGAGAGCGUUCUAAGGGCGUUGAAGCAUGAUCGUAAGGACAUGUGGAGCGCUUAGAAGUGAGAAUGCCGGUGUGAGUAGCGAAAGACGGGUGAGAAUCCCGUCCACCGAUUGACUAAGGUUUCCAGAGGAAGGCUCGUCCGCUCUGGGUUAGUCGGGUCCUAAGCUGAGGCCGACAGGCGUAGGCGAUGGAUAACAGGUUGAUAUUCCUGUACCACCUAUAAUCGUUUUAAUCGAUGGGGGGACGCAGUAGGAUAGGCGAAGCGUGCGAUUGGAUUGCACGUCUAAGCAGUAAGGCUGAGUAUUAGGCAAAUCCGGUACUCAUUAAGGCUGAGCUGUGAUGGGGAGAAGACAUUGUGUCUUCGAGUCGUUGAUUUCACACUGCCGAGAAAAGCCUCUAGAUAGAAAAUAGGUGCCCGUACCGCAAACCGACACAGGUAGUCAAGAUGAGAAUUCUAAGGUGAGCGAGCGAACUCUCGUUAAGGAACUCGGCAAAAUGACCCCGUAACUUCGGGAGAAGGGGUGCUCUUUAGGGUUAACGCCCAGAAGAGCCGCAGUGAAUAGGCCCAAGCGACUGUUUAUCAAAAACACAGGUCUCUGCUAAACCGUAAGGUGAUGUAUAGGGGCUGACGCCUGCCCGGUGCUGGAAGGUUAAGAGGAGUGGU